rnacentral:rRNA from 1 species
UCUGGUUGAUCCUGGCGGAGGCCAUUGCUAUUGGGAUCCGAUUUAGCCAUGCUAGUUGCACGAGUUCAGACUCGUAGCGAAUAGCUCAGUAACACGUGGCCAAACUACCCUUCGGAGCACCAUACCCUCGGGAAACUGAGGCUAAUAGUGCAUCCCGCACUCACCCUGGAAUGGCGAGUGCGUCAAACGCUCCGGCGCCGAAGGAUGUGGCUGCGGCCGAUUAGGUAGACGGUGGGGUAACGGCCCACCGUGCCGAUAAUCGGUACGGGUCAUGAGAGUGAGAACCCGGAGACGGAAUCUGAGACAAGAUUCCGGGCCCUACGGGGCGCAGCAGGCGCGAAACCUUUACACUGCACUACAGUGCGAUAAGGGGAUCCCAAGUGCACAGGCAUAGAGCCUGUGCUUUUGUACACCCUAGGGAGGUGUCCGAAUAAGGGCUGGGCAAGACCGGUGCCAACCGCCGCGGUAAUACCGGCAGCCCGAGUGAUGGCCGAUCUUAUUGGGCCUAAAGCGUCCGUAGCUGGCCGCGCAAGUCCAUCGGGAAAUCCACCCGCUCAACGGGUGGACGUCCGGUGGAAACUGCACGGCUUGGGACCGGAGGGCGCGACGGGUACGUCCGGGGUAGGAGUGAAAUCCCGUAAUCCUGGACGGACCGCCGAUGGCGAAAGCACGUCGCGAGAACGGAUCCGACAGUGAGGGACGAAAGCUAGGGUCUCGAACCGGAUUAAAUACCCGGGUAGUCCUAGCCGUAAACAAUGCCUGCUAGGUGUGGCUCCCACUACNAGUGGGUGCUGUGCCGNANGGAANCCGCUAACCAGGCCGCCUGGN